GGUACAUUGGAUUCAAUGAAUUGUACAUAUAUAUUUUAUUUGAACAAUAUUGACCCGGUUCCAAUUUAACUAUCUUUAGAUGUAAAGAACUUACCCAGCUAAAGAAUUAACCACACAAUCAAAUACGGUAGAGUCGUGAUAUAUUUUGUGGAUCUUUAAUAAUUUCUAUCAAAGCAUUAAUUGAAAGAACAGUUAUUGUAUCUAAAAUAGUUUUUGGUUAUCAUCAGAUAAUUUAAAUGGUGGUCUAACAACAGAAUAAAUAGACAACAUUCGAUAUAGUUGAAGGAAUGUAGGACUGGUGGGAUGAUCGUUGGAUCCGUUUAUAGUCUAAUUAUUCUAAAAAUGUCUAAAAAAAUGUAAAGAAUAAAUUGUA